UACGAAGGGGGCUAGCGUUGCUCGGAAUCACUGGGCGUAAAGCGCACGUAGGCGGCUUUUUAAGUCAGAGGUGAAAUCCUGGAGCUCAACUCCAGAACUGCCUUUGAUACUGAGAGGCUUGAGUCCGGGAGAGGUGAGUGGAACUGCGAGUGUAGAGGUGAAAUUCGUAGAUAUUCGCAAGAACACCAGUGGCGAAGGCGGCUCACUGGCCCGGUACUGACGCUGAGGUGCGAAAGCGUGGGGAGCAAACGGG
rnacentral:rRNA from 1 species